rnacentral:rRNA from 1 species
CCUACGGGGGGCAGCAGUGGGGAAUAUUGGACAAUGGUGGGAACCCUGAUGCAGCGACGCCGCGUGAGUGAAGAAGUAUUUCGGUAUGUAAAGCUCUAUCAGCAGGGGAGAAAAUGACGGUACCUGCCUCAGAAGCCCCGUCUAACUACGUGCCGGCAGCCGCGGUACUACGUAGGGGGCAGGCGUUAUCCGGAUAUACUGGGUGUAAAGGGGGCGUAGAAGGCAGUGCAAGUCUGCAGUGAAAGGCGGGGGCUCAACCCCCGGACCGCCCUUGAAACUGUAGGGCUGGAGUGCAGGAGAGGUAAGUGGAAUUCGUAGUGUAGCGGUGAAAUGCGUAGAUAUUAGGAGGAACACCAGUGGCGAAGGCGGCUUACUGGACUGUAACUGACGUUGAGGCUCGAAAGCGUGGGGAGCAAACAGGAUUAGAUACCCUGGUAGUC